CCUGGGAACUGCGUUNUGAACUGGGUGACUAGAGUGUGUCAGAGGGAGGUAGAAUUCCACGUGUAGCAGUGAAAUGCGUAGAGAUGUGGAGGAAUACCGAUGGCGAAGGCAGCNUCCUGGGAUAACACUGACGUUCAUGCCCGAAAGCGUGGGUAGCAAACAGGAUUAGAUACCCUGGUAGUCCACGCCCUAAACGAUGUCGAUUAGCUGUUGGGCAGCAUGACUGCUUAGUAGCGAAGCUAACGCGUGAAAUCGACCGCCUGGGGAGUACGGUCGCAAGAUUAAAACUCAAAGGAAUUGACGGGGACCCGCACAAGCGGUGGAUGAUGUGGAUUAAUUCGAUGCAACGCGAAGAACCUUACCUGGUCUUGACAUGUGCGGAACCCUCCAGAGACGGAGGGGUGCCUUCGGGAGCCGUAACACAGGUGCUGCAUGGCUGUCGUCAGCUCGUGUCGUGAGAUGUUGGGUUAAGUCCCGCAACGAGCGCAGCCCUUGUCAUUAGUUGCCAUCAUUAAGUUGGGCACUCUAAUGAGACUGCCGGUGACAAGCCGGAGGAAGGUGGGGAUGACGUCAAGUCCUCAUGGCCCUUAUGACCAGGGCUUCACACGUCAUACAAUGGUCGGUACAGAGGGUAGCCAAGCCGCGAGGUGGAGCCAAUCUCACAAAACCGAUCGUAGUCCGGAUUGCACUCUGCAACUCGAGUGCAUGA
rnacentral:rRNA from 1 species